GUGCAGCAGGCGCGAAACCUUUACACUGCACGGAAGUGCGAUAGGGGAAUCCCAAGUGCGAGGGCAUAUUAGCCCUCGCUUUUCUCGACUGUAAGGUGGUCGACGAAUAAGAGCUGGGCAAGACCGGUGCCAGCCGCCGCGGUAAUACCGGCAGCUCAAGUGAUGUCCCAUAUUAUUGGGCCUAAAGCGUCCGUAGCUGGCCGACCAAGUCUACCGGGAAAUCCACCCGCCCAACGGGUGGGCGUCCGGUAGAAACUGGCCGGCUUGGAACCGGAAGGCUCAGAGAGUACGUCCGGGGUAGGAGUGAAAUCCCGUAAUCCCGGACGGACUACCGAUGGCGAAAGCACUCUGAGAAGACGGCUUCGACAGUGAGGGACGAAAGCUCGGGUCUCAAACCGGAUUAGAUACCCGGGUAGUCCGAGCUGUAAACGAUGCUCGUUAGGUGUGGCACCCACUACGAGUGGGUGCUGUGCCGUAGGGAAGCCGCUAAACGAGC
rnacentral:rRNA from 1 species